rfam:Ictidomys tridecemlineatus contig066130, whole genome shotgun sequence.
CCAAAGGCUCUUUUCAGAGCCACCCACGGCGGCACUCGGAAGGAG